CCUACGGGAGGCAGCAGUAGGGAAUUUUGCGCAAUGGGCGAAAGCCUGACGCAGCAACGCCGCGUGAUCGAGACGCCCUUCGGGGUGUAAAGAUCUGUCAUUGGGGACGAUACUUGACGGUACCCACAGCGGAAGCACCGUCUAACUCCAUGCCAGCAGCCGCGGUAAUACGGGGGUUGCAAGCGUUCUCCGGAAUCAUUGGGCGUACAGAGGUCGUAGGCGGCACGUACAGUCUGGUGUUAAAGGAAGAGGCUCAACGUCGGUACGGAACUGGAUACUUGCGAGCUAGAAAGCGGUAGAGGUAAAGGGAAGGUCUGGUGUAGCGGUGAAAUGCUUAGAUAUCAGGAGGAACAUCGAUGGCGUAGGCACUUUACUGGGCCGUAAUUGACGUUGAGGAACGAAAGCCAGGGGAGCAAAUGGGAUUAGAUACCCGUGUAGUC
rnacentral:rRNA from 1 species